CCCACUCUCUAUCUUCUCUUACUCUCUCUCCGUAUCUCACUGGUUUUCUACACCCAACUCAAAAGCUCUUUUACAAGAUGUUCUCUCUCUCUGUCUCUCUCCGUCUGUCUGCCUGCCUACCUGUCUUUGUAUGUACCUGUCUGUCUGCCUUAGUUGCAAGUUUGUGUGCCUGCCUGUUUUGUCUGUGUUUGCCAUACUUAUCUGUCAAUAUGUCUGUCUACUUGCCUGUCUACCUCUAUCACAACAGCCACAUAGUAUGGCUUCAUCUUUAGAGGAAGACUACGAGGAUCAACUGGAAGAGCUUCUGAGACAAGGGCAAGCCCAGAACCGGCCAAGAAACAGAAAACAAAAAAAGCAACUGUUUCCAGGGUCCCUUGGAGAGAGAUGGACAGCAGAGGCACAGUAGUCACACAAACGUUCCAUGCAUCAUCUUCUACCGGACUGCAGAGCCUGCCGUGAGCUGGAGAACUUGCUAGAGACAAAGCCCUUCCUCUCUGUGGUUCAUGCCAAAGCUCGUGGAGUGUGAGAGCACUGGACCAGCGCAGUUGGCGUUUCACCCAUAUGAGUGCUACCCUGAGCAAAUGAUUCCGUGAGACCAAGCAAAAACUUCUGAAGGAAAAGGAGAGUGUUGAAGUUCUGAAGAACCUAAUGUCUGUGAAUGGUGGCCCGGUACAGCAGUGAGUCACUGAUGUCCAGGAGUGGGCCGGUGGUAGCUGGUCCACUGCAGGGCGUUGAGGUGCGGGAGGUCCCUCCGCACAUAUGUUCCAUCCUGGACUCUAGGCGUCGGGUGAGCGGCCUGCAGUACCUCGUGGAUUGGGAGGGAUACGGUCCGGAGGAGAGGUGCUGGGAGCCGGUGGGGGACAUCUUGGACCCAUCUCUGCUGAGUGAGUUCCACCGCCUCCAUCCAGAUCGCCAUGUGCCUCGCCCUCCGGGUCGUCCUCGAAGCCGGCGUCGGCGCACUGCGGGAGCCGCGCGACAAGGGGUGGCUCCUCUCCCUGUUCAAUAAUAAUAAUAAUAAUAUAAUAAUAUAUGCCAUUUAGCAGACGCUUUUAUCCAAAGUGACUUACAGUCAUGUGUGCAUACAUUCUACGUAUGGGUGGUCCCGGGGAUCGAACCCACUACCCUGGCGUUACAAGCGCCAUGCUCUACCAACUGAGCUACACAGGACCUGUUCACUCGGUGCUCUACUAGCUGCCACCGAUCCCUUUUCUUUUUUGUUUGGUUUAGUCUGUCUUGUUGUUCACCUGUGUAUAGUUUAGGUUAUUAGUGGGGUAUUUUAUCUCGCCCUACCCUCUUGGUUUUGUGCGGGAUUGUUUGUGUAGCUGUCAUUUGUUUGGGUUGUGUUUUGGUUUGUUCUGUUAAACAGGUGUUUUAUCGGGACUACGUUCCUGUUGUUUUGUGGCUACUGUUGUGGUCCUAUUCCUGUUCUUUGGACUUGUAAAUAAAACGCCCUUUCUUGCAAUUCGCUCACUCCUGCACCUGACUCCACACCCACCUCUCCUAGGGAGAGCGUGACA